GUGUAGGGUCAUGCCAUCCUGAACAAGCCUGAUGUCUGAUCUCAGAAGCUAAGUAGGGUCAGACCUAUUUAGUACUUGAAUGGGAGACCACCUAGGAAUUAUAGGCACUGUAGGCA
rnacentral:rRNA from 1 species